GAUUCUGCCCUACGGGGAAGGAUGAGAAGCUUCGACCAAGGUUCGACUCGAGCGUAGCGAGAGAACGUUGCCGCAGGCAACGGCCAGAAGGGCGAGGAGCGAUAGCGACGAGUUAUCCUUCCCCCACCACCA
rnacentral:sRNA from 2 species